GUGACUACCUAUUUGUUGCCUCGGCGGUGCCUGUUCCGACAGCCCGCCAGAGGACCCCAAACCCUGAUUACAUUUAAGAAGUCUUCUGAGUAAACCGAUUAAAUAAAUCAAAACUUUCAACAACGGAUCUCUUGGUUCUGGCAUCGAUGAAGAACGCAGCGAAAUGCGAUAAGUAAUGUGAAUUGCAGAAUUCAGUGAAUCAUCGAAUCUUUGAACGCACAUUGCGCCCGCUAGUAUUCUGGCGGGCAUGCCUGUCCGAGCGUCAUUUCAACCCUCAAGCCCCCGGGCUUGGUGUUGGGGAUCGGCGAGCCUCCGCGCCCGCCGUCCCCUAAAUCUAGUGGCGGUCUCGCUGUAGCUUCCUCUGCGUAGUAGCACACCUCGCACUGGGAAACAGCGCGGCCACGCCGUUAAACCCCCAACUUCUGAACGUUUGACCUCGGAUCAGGUAGGAAUACCCGCUGAACUUAAGCAUAUCAAA
rnacentral:rRNA from 1 species